rnacentral:rRNA from 1 species
AACGAACGCUGGCGGCAGGCCUAACACAUGCAAGUCGAGCGCCCCGCAAGGGGAGCGGCGGACGGGUGAGUAACACGUGGGAAUUUUCCUCAAGGUACGGAACAACUCAGGGAAACUUGGGCUAAUACCGUAUGAUGCAGAGAUGCCAAAGAUUUAUCGCCUUGGGAUAAGCCCGCGUCAGAUUAGGUAGUUGGUGGGGUAAUGGCCUACCAAGCCUGUGAUCUGUAGCUGGUCUGAGAGGACGAUCAGCCACAUUGGGACUGAGACACGGCCCAAACUCCUACGGGAGGCAGCAGUGGGGAAUCUUGCGCAAUGGGCGAAAGCCUGACGCAGCCAUGCCGCGUGAAUGAUGAAGGUCUUAGGAUUGUAAAGUUCUUUUAGCCUGUGACGAUGAUGACGGUAACAGGAGAAUAAGCCCCGGCUAACUUCGUG